GUAGGUGGCAAGCGUUGUCCGGAAUUAUUGGGCGUAAAGCGCGCGCAGGCGGUUCUUUAAGUCUGAUGUGAAAGCCCACGGCUCAACCGUGAGGGUCAUUGGAAACUGGAGAACUUGAGUACAGAAGAGGAAAGCGGAAUUCCACGUGUAGCGGUGAAAUGCGUAGAGAUGUGGAGGAACACCAGUGGCGAAGGCGGCUUUCUGGUCUGUAACUGACGCUGAGGCGCGAAAGCGUGGGGAGCAAACAGGGAUUAGAUACCCUGGUAGUCCACGCCGUAAACGAUGAGUGCUAAGUGUUAGGGGGGUUUCCGCCUCUUAGUGCUGCAGCUAACGCAUUAAGCACUCCGCCUGGGAGUACGGCCGCAAGGCUG
rnacentral:rRNA from 1 species